CUACUUUCCUAGCAGGGGAGAUACCACGAUCACAAAGGUGGUUUUCCCAGCUUGAGGUUUAUCCAUUGCAUUCCGGAUGUGUUGAUCUCUGUGAUUUUCGAAAGUUAGGAAACUCAACCACAUAAUUUGUGGUAGUGGAGGAUUGUGUUCUAACUCUCCUCUG
ensembl:snRNA U1 U1 spliceosomal RNA